UUCUUUCCAGGGGUGAGCGAAGGAAUUAUCUCAGGAUGGAUCCAAAUGGAGCCAAGUGAGGAAAGGGACUUGUUGUGUCUGCUGCGACAGUCCUAUUGAUUCCCUUCUGUACAGAUGUGGGCACAUGUGUACCUGUUCAAAAUGUGCUAAUGAGUUAGUUCGAGGUGGAGGCAAGUGCCCACUAUGCCGCGCACCCAUUGCCGAGGUGAUCCGAGCCUAUUCUAUACUGUAAAAUAAUGCCAGACCCUCAAGUUUUCGGGGGAACUACCUAAUGGGUUCUUGCAUCUUGCCUAUAUAAUUGUUCUUUUUUUUUUCAUUGCCUCUGUUGUUCUUUAACGUUUUUGGAACGUUGACAUGUUUCGAGUGGAGUAACAAAUGGCACCUUAUGUAUGUCACAAACAAAUAUCUAAUGAAAUUCUUUCGUUUUAUGUAUUUGGAGGAUGA